AGUGAACGCUGGCGGUAGGCCUAACACAUGCAAGUCGAACGGCAGCACAGUAAGAGCUUGCUCUUACGGGUGGCGAGUGGCGGACGGGUGAGGAAUACAUCGGAAUCUACUUUUUCGUGGGGGAUAACGUAGGGAAACUUACGCUAAUACCGCAUACGACCUACGGGUGAAAGCAGGGGAUCUUCGGACCUUGCGCGAUUGAAUGAGCCGAUGUCGGAUUAGCUAGUUGGCGGGGUAAAGGCCCACCAAGGCGACGAUCCGUAGCUGGUCUGAGAGGAUGAUCAGCCACACUGGAACUGAGACACGGUCCAGACUCCUACGGGAGGCAGCAGUGGGGAAUAUUGGACAAUGGGCGCAGGCCUGAUCCAGCCAUACCGCGUGGGUGAAGAAGGCCUUCGGGUUGUAAAGCCCUUUUGUUGGGAAAGAAAAGCAGCAGGUUAAUACCGCGCUGUUCUGACGGUACCCAAAGAAUAAGCACCGGCUAACUUCGUG
rnacentral:rRNA from 1 species